UUUGGUAAUCUAGUAAUUAAAAUGAAUUAAAAGGGAAAAAGAUGACAAAUUAUGCUCAUCUUCUUCAUAUGAACGAAAUCAGCAAGGGGGGAAGCCAUAGUUAGGGUUUUCAAGCUUCCAAGCUCCAUAAUCAAGAAGUACGAAACUCGAGGUUAGACAAAGGGAAGAAUAAAGUUGAAGACUAAGUUGGUGAAUUUGGCUAUAAUUGGUACCGAGUAUUGCAAAGCUACUUCAAGGAUCCUAAAGAAGUCGGAGAUCGUCCACACUAUCAACCACAACUGCUCGGUAUUUUAUGUCAAAACACGUUUGAGUUAUGGCAUGUAUAGGGAUUUAGUUAUUUUGUAUGUUUGUAAUGAUGAUUUUGCUAAUGAGUGAUGUGUAAGUAUUUGAUGAUGUAUGGUCAUUAAAAUGGUUAAGGAUGAAGGUGUUUGUUGUUAUGAAA